UUCCUCUCCAGGCCGCGCUGUGCCGCGGUCAGGCGGGGUGAGCUGUCAGUGCCGAUCGCUCCCCAGGACCAAACCGUUCCUGACGUUUCUCCGGGCGCCGCUCCCUGUUUGCGCUUUUCCCAAGGGCAGAGCCAAAGGGGGGCACAGGGAGAUGAGGCAGCCCCGGAUGAUCAGGGGUUGGUGGAGCAGCGUUGGAGCAGGAGCUGUUCCCUUCUCCAGCGUGACGGGGAGAUGCUGAUGUGCCAAAAAUGAGGGUUGUGACCGAUAAAGCUAGGCUGAAAUCUGUGAUUUCUUGGAAUGUAUUUAUUUUAGAAGCAGCCCCGCAGCCUGGGCUCUCCCCGUCCUCCAGAUAUCUCCGGUUCCCUGCCAGCUCCUGGGACAGAGCCAAGUGUGUCAUGUCCCCACCUUUCCCUGCCUUGGGGACAGGGACAGCCCCUCCUGCCAGGCCGGGGGCCAGACGAGACUCGGCGCAUCCUCAGAGCCCCGGUGCCCGGGGCACUGCUCCGUGCCAGGGUGGCAGGAGAGGAGAGCGGCGGAGAGGACAGAGCCAGGUCUGUGCCCCCUGCCCUGUCCCACGCCGUGGGUGCCCGGGGCACCCCCCCGGAGGGGUCCCUGUGCCAGGGCAGGGGUUUUCCAUGGGUGCUGCAGAAGCCACGCUCCAGCCGGAGCCAGGCCAGCCCGCGGGAGCCUUCCCGGCGGCUCCCACCAGCCGGGUGAUGUUAAUCCCUCCCGACUGCGCUGUCUCAGCCAUCUCCACGCUCCCGUGACAGCGGCAGGUGAGGCGAGCAGCGGCACCGGGUCCCACCAGCCUUCCAGGACCUACUUUGUCUCAUGUGAGUGGGUCGAGAUGCCGCUGGGGGCUGGGCAAACCCUCCUCCUCUUCCUCACCUACCAAAAACCCACUGUUGAGGACCCCUCCUCAACUGAGGGCCCGGGGCUUUGCCUCUGGCCUCAGCUUCUCUGUAUGGAGAGCAAGGAAAAUAAAAUUUGCCAAUAAAACGGGCUAUGAAAACGGCA